rnacentral:rRNA from 1 species
UUUGAACGCUGGCGGCAGGCCUAACACAUGCACGUAGAGCGGAGCGGCGGACGGGUGAGUAAUGCCUAGGAAUCUGCCUGGUAGUGGGGGAUAACGUCCGGGAACGGGCGCUAAUACCGCAUACUAUCAGAUGAGCCUAGGUCGGAUUAGCUAGUUGGGGGGGUAAAGGCCUACCAAGGCGACGAUCCGUAACUGGUCUGAGAGGAGGAUCAGUCCAAUGUGAACGUAGACACGGUCCCGACGCCGACGGGAGGCAGCAGUUGGGAAUAUUGGACAAUGGGCGAAAGCCUGAUCCAGCCAUGCCGCGUAUGUGAAGAAGUGUUGCGGAUGGAAAAGCUCGUGAAGUUGGUAGGCGUUACCAACAGAAUAAGCACCGGCUAACUUCGUGCCAGCAGCCGCGGUAAUUC